rnacentral:rRNA from 1 species
GACGAACGCUGGCGGCGUGCUUAACACAUGCAAGUCGAACGGAAAGGCCCUGCUUUUGUGGGGUGCUCGAGUGGCGAACGGGUGAGUAACACGUGAGUAACCUGCCCUUGACUUUGGGAUAACUUCAGGAAACUAGGGCUAAUACCGGAUAGGAGCUCCUGCUGCAUGGUGGGGGUUGGAAAGUUUCGGCGGUUGGGGAUGGACUCGCGGCUUAUCAGCUUGUUGGUGGGGUAGUGGCUUACCAAGGCUUUGACGGGUAGCCGGCCUGAGAGGGUGACCGGCCACAUUGGGACUGAGAUACGGCCCAGACUCCUACGGGAGGCAGCAGUGGGGAAUAUUGCACAAUGGGCGGAAGCCUGAUGCAGCAACGCCGCGUGCGGGAUGACGGCCUUCGGGUUGUAAACCGCUUUCGCCUGUGACGAAGCGUGAGUGACGGUAAUGGGUAAAGAAGCACCGGCUAACUACGUG